ACUCCAUAUCAUUUCUUUUGUAAUUAUUAGAGUGUUUGGUCUUUUGUGUACAUUGCUUGUACAUGCGAUGAUCAUGGCUAUGCACAUUUUUAUAUGUGAUAUAUAAGUUGUAGAAUGCGAGAUAUUUUAUAUGCUUUUAAUAGGUUAUAUCAAAAUAUUGGAUCAGUCAGUUUGAUUUCGAGGUCUCAUUGAGACAUGGUGCUAUAUUGUCUCCAUAGGUGAAUCAACUGUUUUUGUGUAUAGGUUUGACCACUUGGCGGUUGUUCAAUACUACUUUUAAAAUGUAAAAUUUAUGUUUGUGUCAGAGAAAAAUUGUUUGUAUUUUUUUAGUAUUAAAAACAAGUUUGUUUUGUGAAAAAGCCAAGAUAAUGGCAACCAUGUAAAUGGAUUUAUUAAGGAGAUCAUCGUUGAUUCACUUGAUCACGUCAAACAGAUCCUGAAGCAACUACUUGCUGCGGAAGCGAACAUUCUUUCUCUAUCUACUUCUCCUCUAGCACAGAUCUUGAAGCAACUGGUCUCUUUGUAAAUAAUAAUAAACGUAAAAACUUAAAAAAAAUUUACCUUCCAAAUUUUCUGUAAAUUCUUUUUCUGCGUAGCUCAUUGAUAAGACCUAUGGACUCAGCCAUGGUCAUUGCUGAAAUACCAUGUCCAAUAUCAAUCCUUGCAAUUAAAUCAUUUCUUCCAACCUGUUGAUAUCUUAUAUAUAUAAAGUUGAAUUGUGCUCAAAGCACAGCCCUCCACGACACAAAACAGGGUGGGGCUUUUGCCAACACGUGUCAGCUCGGUAGUGCGUCUGUGUAUCCCACGCUCUCUCUUCCUUUGUAUUGAAAGUCAAGAGCCUUGAAUUUCUCCUCCACUCACUCAAUAGCUUUGGCUAUUAUUUGCAUUUAUAAGAUCCGAAACACAAAUCUGGAAUCACUGUUCGACUUCUCCUCCUCUCCCACUUUUUAUAUCAUCAUCUAAAUCAGCUCUAACCUAAAGCCACUGUGGCAUCUAGAAAUUCCAAAUCAAACAUCCUCAUCUCUGCACGAGUCACAACUAUAGCCGCCUCACUAUGGUUUCAACUGAAGAGAGUCUUUUGGAAUGACCUCUAUGGAUCUUGGUAAAAAUUAAUUCCUCCGAUGAUGUUUACGGUCAGGAUUUUUUAUGAUUCAUGCGUCUGAUGCUUUUUUAGUGUGGGUUUUGAGUCAAAACUUUUGACCCAACCUAAAUAGGCUUAUUAUCAUGUUUUUGUGAUAUGUUAUCUGUUUGUAUCAUAAUUAUUUGAAAAUUGAAUUUACUGCACUAUGAUUGCUUGAGGAAAGGUAGAGCUCUCAACCCAUUACUAUUCCGUUUUCAAUUUUUUAUUUUCUAGGAACAAAAUCAUUUCUAAUUUUCAUUUGACUAAACCAUUGAGGAUCAGCAGAAGAAGGACGGGUCGAGAACGAAGUUGAAAAUGAACGUGAAGCUUAAUCAUCAAGUUAACUAAGAAGAAUGAUGUUAAUAAGCUUCAGAUCAAGGUCUAUGAGAAGACAUGUCAAAUCGUUCCAUGCUCUCUUCAAGACCUUUGGUUGUGGGUCUGUGGCUUCGUAUCAUGUGUUCAUCUGUAGAAAGUUCACGAAACAUGUUCUUCCACAAUCCAAUCGACAAACCAAAGCCUCUGCCAAGACCUCAUAAUAUCAAAAUAUCUACAGGAAGCAGUCCAUGAUGAUCCAGGGAUCAAUUAGCGUCCACUGGUUGAACACUUUCUAACGCCCCUCAGAUAGGGAGGUAUUUAUGAGCUGAGUUCAUUUGAUGUGACAAAGAGCAAUCAGUAUUUCAAGCUGACUACUGCACCCGUAUCAGUUAGGUUCACUUAGCACACUACCUUGAUAGAGAUCACAGAAACCAUUAACCCUAUACCGGCAGAGGUCUUCCUGUUCCGGAGCUUUGAUCAAGUGUUGUUACUGGCUAACACAAACAUCCUCUUACCAGGUCAGUUCAACAACUAACAACUUGCAUGUUCAUCCUCCUUACAUGGUGACAUAUAUUCAAUGAUCCCAGCGCUGAUAUGCCGGGGAGCUGCAUCUGUAAUACCAAAUCCCUCGCAUGGUGUGUACAUCGGUGUUUCUAUGACCAGCAGAAGGCUUGAUAGUCAUGGGAUGGUUGAAGAAAACAGAAGCGAGACAGAUCUACCAGGUGCUCGAGCUAUUGUUCCCGAAAUGACUGCAGAGUGCGGAGAAGCCAACAGUUCUGGAACAUGGGCUCUUUGUAAAGAAGGCAUGCAUUGAGUAAAGUCUUAAGUAAGGGAGUCUAUGACCCUCCUGUCGACUCCUACAAACUACGCUGGAGCUUUUUUAAAUUUCGCAUAUUAAUGAAAUAUGGCUUAAGAAUCAUUCCCACCGUCAUGUUAUAUCUCAUCAAGUAAGCUCUGUUUUUACAUGUAUAUAUAUAUA